AACGUUCUGAAUCCGUGCCGAGAUUUCGUCAGACACCAGACCACCAGGACUGAUGAGACUCCCAAGUGCAGCGGU
rfam:Schistosoma rodhaini strain Burundi genome assembly, scaffold: SROB_scaffold0001211